AAUCGUCGUCAAUCUUUGUUGU
rnacentral:snRNA from 1 species